CGAACGCUGGCGGCGUGCUUAACACAUGCAAGUCGAACGCGAAAGCAACUCUUCGGAGUAGCGAGUAGAGUGGCGCACGGGUGAGUAACGCGUAGAUAAUCUACCCCUAUAUUUGGGAUAACCAAUCGAAAGGCUGGCUAAUACCGGAUAAUCUUAUACUAUCGCAAGGUGAAUUGAGUAAAGGUGACCUCUCGGAGAAGUUGCCGUAUAGGGAUGAGUUUGCGUACCAUUAGCUAGUAGGUGGGGUAAUGGCCCACCUAGGCUACGAUGGUUAGCGGGUCUGAGAGGAUGAUCCGUCACACUGGAACUGAAACACGGACCAGACUCCUACGGGAGGCAGCAGUGAGGAAUAUUGCGCAAUGGGGGAAACCCUGACGCAGCGACGCCGCGUGGGUGAAGAAGGCCUUCGGGUUGUAAAGCCCUGUCAGAUGGGAAGAAGUGCAUUAUGAUUAAUAGUCAUAGUGUUUGACGGUACCAUCAGAGGAAGCACCGGCUAAAUCC
rnacentral:rRNA from 1 species